rnacentral:rRNA from 1 species
UAAGGAAUAUUGGUCAAUGGAGGCAACUCUGAACCAGCCAUGCCGCGUGCAGGAAGACAGCCCUCUGGGUCGUAAACUGCUUUUAUUCGGGAAUAAACCACCAUACGUGUAUGGUGCUGAAUGUACCGAAGGAAUAAGGAUCGGCUAACUCCGUGCCAGCAGCCGCGGUAAUACGGAGGAUCCAAGCGUUAUCCGGAUUUAUUGGGUUUAAAGGGUGCGUAGGCGGCUUAUUAAGUCAGGGGUGAAAGACGGUGGCUCAACCAUCGCAGUGCCCUUGAUACUGAUGAGCUUGAAUGAACUAGAGGUAGGCGGAAUGUGACAAGUAGCGGUGAAAUGCAUAGAUAUGUCACAGAACACCGAUUGCGAAGGCAGCUUACUAUGGUUUUAUUGACGCUGAGGCACGAAAGCGUGGGGAUCAAACA